GACGAACGCUGGCGGCGUGCCUAAUACAUGCAAGUAGAACGCACAGUUUAUACCGUAGCUUGCUACACCAUAGACUGUGAGUUGCAAACGGGUGAGUAACGCGUAGGUAACCUGCCUGGUAGCGGGGGAUAACUAUUGGAAACGAUAGCUAAUACCGCAUAAUAUUAAUUAUUGCAUGAUAAUUAAUUGAAAGGUGCAAUUGCACCACUACCAGAUGGACCUGCGUUGUAUUAGCUAGUAGGUGAGGUAACGGCUCACCUAGGCGACGAUACAUAGCCGACCUGAGAGGGUGAUCGGCCACACUGGGACUGAGACACGGCCCAGACUCCUACGGGAGGCAGCAGUAGGGAAUCUUCGGCAAUGGACGAAAGUCUGACCGAGCAACGCCGCGUGAGUGAAGAAGGUUUUCGGAUCGUAAAGCUCUGUUGUAAGAGAAGAACGGGUGUGAGAGUGGAAAGUUCACACUGUGACGGUAUCUUACCAGAAAGGGACGGCUAACUACGUG
rnacentral:rRNA from 1 species